GGACGGGUGAGUAACACGUGGGUAACCUGCCUGUAAGCUCGGAAUAACCCCGGGAAACCGGAGCUAAUGCCGAAUGUGAUCAACGCACCGCAUGGUGCGAUGAAUAAAGACGGCUUUGUCGUCACUUACAGAGGGGCCCGCGGCGCAUUAGCUUGUUGGUGAGGUUAAAGCUCACCAAGGCCACGAUGCGUAGCCGACCUGAGAGGGUGAUCGGCCACACUGGGACUGAGACACGGCCCAGACUCCUACGGGAGGCAGCAGUAGGGAAUCAUCCGCAAUGGACGAAAGUCUGACGGUGCAACGCCGCGUGAGUGAUGAAGGUCUUCGGAUCGUAAAGCUCUGUUGUCAGCGAAGAACACGUGCCAUAGGUAAUGAUGGCACCUUGACGGUAUCUGACCAGAAAGCCCCGGCUAACUACGUGCCAGCAGCCGCGGUAAUACGUAGGGGGCAAGCGUUGUCCGGAAUUAUUGGGCGUAAAGCGCGCGCAGGCGGCUUCUUAAGUCUGAUGUGAAAGCCCGUGGCUCAACCA
rnacentral:rRNA from 1 species